AUCUGUUGGUUCAAUUAGUUUCCUUCCUCCUAUGGCAGUGUCGAGCCUGUGACUGUGUUUCAGGGAAGACAGGUGCAAGCUGAUGGCUCCACCAUAUCUAGAAGCUGCUGAUUUGAAAAACACUCUAGUCAAGAAAAAUGUAGCUUUCUAUUAGCAAAGCAGCCACACAGACCAUCCAUACUCUCAGAGAAGAGCUAAUUUUCUGGCUGUGGUCACAGGAAAUCAAAACUAUCGUAUUGAUCCUCAAGAGCGAUUCCUAAUUAGCUACAGAGUAAUCUCCUAGAUUUCCCCAAGGCCAGAGUGACUGACCGUGGCAUUAGUGGGCUGGACAGAACCACCAGCCCUGACCCCCAGGCCCCUGUGCCACGUACCACGGAGGAAUUGGACCAGGAUGAGUAAACACUCUGGGAACUUCUGUGCACAACCCACUAAUGGACUAAGUAAUGUUCCUGUUGGUGACUCUGAGCAAGGAAAACAAAUAAGGCAAAGAAGGAGGUAAAAGAGACAAGUAAGACAUUAUCUGAGAACCUGCAAUGACUCUUGGGAAGACAUCAAAGCAGAAAAAGAAAGAAGUGGCAAGUGACAAAAGAGAUGUUUUAGACCUUCGUGGAGAAGAAGUUUGGUGGUGGGGCAGGAGCAGAAGUUAGAACUCGGGAUUUCUUUGUUCACCUUGGCUGCGAAGCCACCCAUAUAUGACCAGUGUUGAAACUCAUUGCACCAGGCCAACCAAUUAGUCUGUAUUGGCCCCAUAAACUUUGGGCUGACAAGUAUCAAGUGAAAGGUUCUUGAGAAUAAGACUGAAAAAUCCUUCUUACUUCCCCCUACGAAAAAAUUCUCCAGCCCCAGAAUGUUAUUCCUUCCCAAGAAACACAAAUUAACUAGCUGCACUAAUGACCUCCAGACCAACACAAACCCAUUUCCCCUUGAAAUUAACCUUCUAUUCUGAAUCUAAACAGUGUCUAAUUAGCCCCAAACACUGGUGAGCUAACUGGAAGAGAAGAAUGUAGGAAAUCAAAACAAGGGGAUAGUUUUACGGUUGGAAAAAAAAAAAUAGCGAAAAGCCAUCCUCCAAUUAUCCUAUCCUUCUAACCUCCGCCCCUAGAUCCUUAUCCUGCAUCUUCAUUUGUCUUCCUUUCCGUAAACCUUGUAAAGGAGUCUGCUUUUCAGACAAAUAUUUUUCCCAGCUCAUUUGACACCUAGAAGGCAGGAAAAAUAUUGCCCAUCACGAUAAAUAUGAGUAUAAUAUUCCAAUUUUCCAGCAUUUGACAGCAAUCAAGGGAAGAGUAAUGUGUUCCCUCUGUGACUAAAUCAUUUAGAGACCAAGGUAUUCUGUCUCAUUCUCAUUAGGAAAAAAAAAUAUUCCAAUAAUCUCAUUAUCCCAGUGUGAAUAACAGUAAAAAAGCACCAAGACUAAUGACUUCUUCCGCGCUUGCCUCCGCAGAUACCAGCCCAGGCGGUGCUUUUAUAGGCAAUGCUUGGGUAAUGGAGUCUCCCUUAGCAGCGAUCCUGUAGCAUCUGCUGCUCUGAAAGCCCUGCCUAACACAUUCUGCUUUGUCUGCAGCAAGGUUUACACACACCCCUGGACUCCAAAGACUCUUUUUAUGUAUUUUUUAAAAAACUAACUCCAAUGGAAAAAGAAUGUGUCAUGGCAUGUUAAACUUUAUGGAAAUUCUUCUGGAGAAUAACAUAAUUUCACGGUGCAUUACUCUGAAAUGACCUAGUACUUGAACAAUUAAUUUUUAAGGUGUAGCAUUGACUUCCCCUUGCUGUAUUUAACCCAUAUCUGAAAUUGUCAACAAUGCCAAGGGUUGGACAAUGAGUUGGGAGAAGAGCAGGAGCCUGAAAAUUACUCCCUAUCUACUAUGUUUUCUUUUAUCAGACAUAAUGCUUCCCUCUUUGGUUCAAAAAUGAAAAGAGAAGGGAGCAGGUACUUUAGUUAGGGACACUUCAUAGGCAGCACAGCCUGGCAGGUAAAUAGUACAGUCCUGGAGACAUAAACUCUAUGUCUUACCUUUGUCAUUAAUUUACUGUGUAGCCUUAGAGAAACUCCUUUUUCUCUCUGUAGCUAAAAUGGGGGAAGGAGAGGUUUUGUUUGUUAUGCCCCCAAAAGGAAUUCAGUGAUAGAAAAUGAAUAGAUGUAUAAUAUAUCCUCUGAUUCCUUGAAAUAAAAGCUCUGAAUGUUC